GACGAACGCUGGCGGCGUGCUUAACACAUGCAAGUCGAACGGAAAGGCCCUGCUUUUGUGGGGUGCUCGAGUGGCGAACGGGUGAGUAACACGUGAGUAACCUGCCCUUGACUUUGGGAUAACUUCAGGAAACUGGGGCUAAUACCGGAUAGGAGCUCCUGCUGCGUGGUGGGGGUUGGAAAGUUUCGGCGGUUUGGGAUGGACUCGCGGCUUAUCAGCUUGUUGGUGGGGGAGUGGCUUACCAAGGCUUUGACGGGUAGCCGGCCUGAGAGGGUGACCGGCCACAUUGGGACUGAGAGACGGCCCAGACUCCUACGGGAGGCAGCAGUGGGGAAUAUGGCACAAUGGGCGGACGCCUGAUGCAGAAACGCCGCGUGCGGGAUGCCGGCCUUCGGGUUGUAAACCGCUUUCGCCUGUGACGAAGCGUGAGUGACGGUACCGGGUAAAGAAGCACCGGCUAACUACGUG
rnacentral:rRNA from 1 species